CAGGACUUCAGAAAUACGUCAGGAUAUUUAUUUAAUUAGAUCUACGCAUGUAGCUCCAUCCUUGGCCAAAUAACACUGAUUUUAAGAACGUCCAGGAAGAGCCAUGGAAAUAUUUGGAGGGAAUUUGAUGUUCCUGGAUCUCCAGAGCCUGUACCACUGAGUCAAGGAAGUGACACCUGAAUGGACAAGACCUGUGGAAGAGCAAGGAUACCUGAGGUUUGUCUCCAAGAGCCCACGACAAUCAGAUGCCAUGAGGAAUCGCUGCAGAAAGAAGGUUGAGUGGAGAGCAGAAAUGGGAAGACUCGAUCACGUGGAAACUGAGUUCUGGAAGGGAGAAGAUGCCAACGGGGCAAGGAUACCUGAGGUUUGCCUCCAAGAGCCCACGACAAUCAGAUGCCAUGAGAAAUAUCUCUGGAAAAGAAGGUUGAGUGGAGAGCAGAAAAGGGAAGACGAAGACUCGAUCACGUGGAAACAGUUCUGGAAGGGAGAAGAUGCCAACAGGGUGAGUGGGUACUGUGGCCAUAGCAAAAUGAUACCUGAAGCUGAGUAAUCUGUAACGACUACACAUUUCUUGGCCCCAUUGUUCCUAACACUGUGAUGUCCAAGAGCUUGGCGAUGGCAGAGCCUUUGAUGAGGGUCUUCCUGCUGAAGGUGGAGGAGGCCAUCUCAAGGAGAGACAGAGGAAGGGUCUUGGAGAUCCUUGGCUAGGCCUGUUUCUUCACACCUUGGCAGGUGCCAUUCUGGAAUUUACUAAUGGGAGGCUGUCAUAAGUCAUGUGACAAAACAUAAAAUGAAUUGGCAGAUGGCUGGCCUACCACAUAUGAGGAGAACAUUGGAUGCUCAGGAAACUCCAGGACUGGUAAACACCCUGUAAAUGAUGACCUGAAGGUUCAGGAUCCUGAGGAAAAUUAAGAUCCACAAGGACCAGAGUCCUGAUGACUGAAGAGUAGAUUCAGGCCCUGUGUGGUUUCUCUUGAAAAGUGAAAGGAAUCAGGCAGGUACACCUGAGCUUUGCCAUCCAAGAGCAGGAGACAAUGGAUCCCAAGAGGAAAGGCCAGAGAAAGAAGACUGAGUGCAGAGCAGAAAGGGGACGACUUGGUCAUGUGGAAAAUGGGUGCAUAGAGACAGAGAGGAGGCCUGUGGGCAAGGAUACCUGAGGUUUGCCUCCAAGAGCCCAAGACAAUCAGAUGCCAUGAGGAAUCGCUGGAGAAAGAAGGUUGAGUGGAGAGCAGAAAUGGGAAGACCCGAUCACGUGGAAACUGAGUUCUGGAAGGGAGAAGAUGUCAACGGGGAGAGAACCUGAUGUUCCAGGAACUCCAGAGCCUGUACCACUGAGUCAAGGAAGUGACAACUAAACGGACAAGAUCCUGUGGAAGAGUAAGUUCCACCAGCACCCCAGUCCUGAUGACAGAAGAGCAGAUUCAGGGCCCAGUGUGGUAUCUGCUAAAACUGGAUGGGAUCACCAACAUGAAGAGGCAGCGAGCAGAGUGAGAGAAAAUAGUUCAAUGAUCUGGAAUCGUUCUCACCCAGAAUGUUGUUCAGAAGCUGGAUCCAUAACUUGUGAAUUGUGCUGCCUUCAAGAUGAGUAUUCGUGCAUCACCACGGCAAGGAUACCUGAGGUUUGCCUCCAAGAGCCCACGACAAUCAGAUGCCAUGAGGAAUCGCUGCAGAAAGAAGGUUGAGUGGAGAGCAGAAAUGGGAAGACCCGAUCACGUGGAAACAGUUCUGGAAGGGAGAAGAUGCCAACAGGGU